rnacentral:rRNA from 1 species
UGGGGAAUUUUCCGCAAUGGGCGUAAGCCUGACGGAGCAAUGCCGCGUGGAGGUGGAAGGCCUACGGGUCGUCAACUUCUUUUCUCGGAGAAGAAACAAUGACGGUAUCUGAGGAAUAAGCAUCGGCUAACUCUGUGCCCG